rnacentral:rRNA from 1 species
CAUCCACAACCCACACACCUGUGCACCAAAGGGACGCGGGUGGAUAACGCACGCCGUCUCGCUUUAACAAGCUCAAAAGUCUAUUUGAAUGUCAUUUAUUCGGGCUAGCCCCGAUGUAACUUAAACAUAACAACUUCAACAACGGAUCUCUUGGCUCUCGCAUCGAUGAGGAACGCAGCGAAAGCGAUAAGUAAUGUGAAUUGCAGAAUUCAGUGAAUCAUCGAAUCUUUGACGCAUCUUGCGCCCAUUGGUAUUCCGAUGGGCAUGCCUGUUUGAGUGUCUGAAAUCAUCAAGCCCGUUCGGUUUCACCGCCGAGCGUGGGUUGGACUUGGGGCUUGCCGCUUCGCCGCGGCUCCCCUUAAAUGCAUCGGUUUCGGGUUCUGUGGGAGUAACCCCUUGGGCGUUGUAUAACCCUCGCUGUCUGGGAAUCCACGCGACGUCCGCGUCGUUGAAGGGCCUUGAAGAAACCUCGACCUGUGUAGAGUGGCGGUCAUUGUUAAAUCGAAAUCUGACCUCAAAUCAGGUAGACUACCCGCUGAACUUAAGCAUAUCAAUAAGCGGAGGAAAAGGGACCG